GCGGUUCAGCGAAUAUUUUUGCCAACAUUUUUCAUUCCCGUACGAAUUAUUCGCGAUUGUUAUUUGUACGGGAGUGAAAAAUUUUGGUAAAUGUUGGAAGAUCAAAUACAAAUCGCCGUAAGGGUGACGUACGAAUAGCCACUUCAUUAACAAAAAUUGAAAAAACGUCAUGGGAUAUGGGAUAUAAAAUUAUACUGAGAUGACAGCACUCCACUGACCAGACGAACAAACAAACAAUGAUACCAGGGAUGAAUAACAAGCAAGAAAGAAUACUUCAUGGGAUUCACAGAGACGAUAGAACUUACUUCACUGAUAACACAAAGCCAAGUUACAAGCAAGCAUGUGUAAACCAUUGGAAACUUUUACAAGGUAAUGAGUUAAAUUAGAACUGUAUGUACUAGAUUGAAAUAUAAACAUGGCACAUGCACGUCUACUGAACACCUGACAA